GACGAACGCUGGCGGCGUGCCUAAUACAUGCAAGUUGAGCGCUGAAGGUUGGUACUUGUACCAACUGGAUGAGCAGCGAACGGGUGAGUAACGCGUGGGGAAUCUGCCUUUGAGCGGGGGACAACAUUUGGAAACGAAUGCUAAUACCGCAUAAAAACUUUAAACACAAGUUUUAAGUUUGAAAGAUGCAAUUGCAUCACUCAAAGAUGAUCCCGCGUUGUAUUAGCUAGUUGGUGAGGUAGAGGCUCACCAAGGCGAUGAUACAUAGCCGACCUGAGAGGGUGAACGGCCACAUUUGGACUGAGACACGGCCCCAACUCCUACGGGAGGCAGCAGUAGGGAAUCUUCGGCAAUGGACGAAAGUCUGACCGAGCAACGCCGCGUGAGUGAAGAAGGUUUUCGGAUCGUAAAACUCUGUUGGUAGAGAAGAACGUUGGUGAGAGUGGAAAGCGCAUCAAGUGACGGUAACUACCCAGAAAGGGACGGCUAACUACGUG
rnacentral:rRNA from 1 species